rnacentral:ncRNA from 1 species
CAAAGGCUUGGUCCUGACUUUACUGUCAGCUUUAACCGGACUUACACAUGCAAGCAUCCGCACCCCUGUGAGAAUGCCCACAACGCCCCGUUCGGGAACAAGGAGCUGGCAUCAGGCACAGACCCAUCUAGCCCACGACGCCUUGCUUAGCCACACCCCCAAGGGAACUCAGCAGUGAUAAACAUUAAGCCAUGAGUGAAAGCUUGACUUAGUUAAGGUUAAAUAGGGCCGGUAAAACUCGUGCCAGCCACCGCGGUUAUACGAGAGGCCCGAGUUGACAGACAGCGGCGUAAGGGGUGGUUAGGGAAAAUUAACCAAACUAAAGCUGAACAUCCUCAAAGCUGUUAUAUGCACCCGAGGACAUGAAACCCAAUUACGAAAGUAGCUUUAUCUGCCCUGAACCCACGAAAGCUAAGAAACAAACUGGGAUUAGAUACCCCACUAUGCUUAGCCCUAAACAUCGAUUGUAAAGUACACUCAAAAUCCGCCCGGGAAUUACGAACACUAGUCUAAAACCCAAAGGACUUGGCGGUGCUUAACAUCCACCUAGAGGAGCCUGUUCUAGAACCGAUAACCCCCGUUAAACCUCACCCCCUCUUGCCUCAUCCGCCUAUAUACCACCGUCGUCAGCUUACCCUGUGAAGGUCUAACAGUAAGCAAAAUUGGCAAAGCCCAAAACGUCAGGUCGAGGUGUAGUGAAUGGGGGGGGAAGAAAUGGGCUACAUUUACUACAUCUAGUAAAUACGAACGAUGCAUUGAAACAUGCAACUGAAGGAGGAUUUAGCAGUAAGCAGGAAAUAGAGCGUCCAGCUGAAAUCGGCCCUAAAGCGCGCACACACCGCCCGUCACCCUCCCCAAGCCCUCUAAACCAAAGUAGCUAAAAAAAACAGCCCGCAAAGGGGAGGAAAGUCGUAACAUGGUAAGUGUACCGGAAGGUGCACUUGGAGAAAC